GACAGAGGCCUCAAGCGUUAGGCGGAAUCACUGGGCUUAAAGCGUGUGUAGGCGGAUCGUUAAGUGUCUUGUGAAAUCCCACGGCUCACCCGUGGAACGGCUGGGCAUACUGGCGGUCUUGGGCCAACUAGGGGCAACUGGAACAAGCGGUGGAGCGGUGAAAUGCGUAGAUAUCGCUUGGAACGCCGAAGGUGAAAACAGGUUGCUGGGGUUGUGCCGACGCUGAGACACGAAAGCCAGGGGAGCAAACGGG
rnacentral:rRNA from 1 species